UACGGAGGGAGCUAGCGUUGUUCGGAAUUACUGGGCGUAAAGCGCACGUAGGCGGCUUUGUAAGUUAGAGGUGAAAGCCCGGGGCUCAACCCCGGAAUUGCCUUUAAGACUGCAUCGCUUGAAUCCGGGAGAGGUGAGUGGAAUUCCGAGUGUAGAGGUGAAAUUCGUAGAUAUUGGGAAGAACACCGGUGGCGAAGGCGGCUCACUGGCUCAUUACUGACGCUCAGGCGCGAUAGCGUGGGGAUCAAACAGG
rnacentral:rRNA from 1 species